GAGUGAAACUCAAAGGAAUUGACGGGGACCCGCACAAGUAGCGGAGCAUGUGGUUUAAUUCGAAGCAACGCGAAGAACCUUACCUAAGCUUGACAUCCCAAUGACAUCUCCUUAAUCGGAGAGUUCCCUUCGGGGACAUUUGUGACAGGUGGUGCAUGGUUGUCGUCCGCUCGUGUCGUGAGAUGUGGGGUUAAGUCCCGCAACGAGCGCAACCCUUGUCUUUAGUUGCCCUCAUUCAGUUGGGCCCUCUAGAGCGACUGCCCGGGCUCACCUGGAGGAAGGUGAGGUUUCCGUCAAAUCAUCGUGCCCCUUAGACUUAGGUCUACACACGUGCUACAAUGGGUAGUACAGCGGGUUGCCAAGCCGUAAGGUGGAGCUAAUC
rnacentral:rRNA from 1 species